rnacentral:rRNA from 1 species
UGCAGCGUUGCGUGGUUCUUGCCGGAGGUAGAGCUACUGGAUGGCUGAUGGGCCCCACCGGGUUACUGACGUCAACUAAACUCCGAAUGCCGGUAAGGUUCAGCGUGGCAGUGAGACAGUGGGGGAUAAGCUUCAUUGUCGAGAGGGAAACAGCCCAGACCAUCAACUAAGGCCCCUAAGCGUGUGCUGAGUGGGAAAGGAUGUUCAGUUGCGAAGACAACCAGGAGGUUGGCUUAGAAGCAGCCACCCUUGAAAGAGUGCGUAAUAGCUCACUGGUCAAGUGAUUGAGCGCCGAUAAUGUAGCGGGGCUAAGUACACCGCCGAAGUUGUGGCAGCACCACAGAUAGCCGUAAUGGUGUGGUGUUGGGUAGGGGAGCGUCGUGUCGCCAGUGAAGUCGCCGUGUGAACGAGUGGUGGAGGCGUCACGAGUGAGAAUGCAGGCAUGAGUAGCGAAAGACGGGUGAGAAACCCGUCCACCGGAUGACCAAGGGUUCCAGGGCUAGGCUAAUCCGCCCUGGGUAAGUCGGGACCUAAGGCGAGGCCGACAGGCGUAGUCGAUGGACAACCAGUUGAUAUUCUGGUACCGACACACAACCGACAAUACCAAAACACAUGACACUAACUCCCCCGCGUGCCCGUGGUGCCUUCGGGUGCCUGGUUGGCAUUGUGGGCGAGGACCUGAGUGUGGAGUCGGUCAGCGUGAGGUGUGACGCAGAAAGGUAGCCAGGCCACGCGAUGGUUGUCGUGGUCUAAGGUCGUAGCACGUGGGGGUAGGCAAAUCCGUCCCCACAGGAGUGUGAGAGCUGAUGGGCGCCCCACAAUGGGUGGGGUGAUCUGGUGAUCCUCUGCUGCCGAGAAAAGCAUCGACGUGAGGGUGUGUGUUGCCCGUACCCUAUAACCGACACAGGUGGUCAGGUAGAGAAUACUAAGGUGAUCGAGAGAAUCGUGGUUAAGGAACUCGGCAAAAUGCCCCCGUAACUUCGGGAGAAGGGGGGCCAUCCUGGUGAACAAUCCUUGCGGUUGGGAGCUGGUGGUGGUCGCAGAGGCCAGAGAGAAGCGACUGUUUAUUAAAAACACAGGUCCGUGCGAAGAUGUAAGUCGAUGUAUACGGACUGACGCCUGCCCGGUGCUGGAAGGUUAAGAGGACCCGUUAACCCGUAAGGGUGAAGCGGAGAAUUUAAGCCCCAGUAAACGGCGGUGGUAACUAUAACCAUCCUAAGGUAGCGAAAUUCCUUGUCGGGUAAGUUCCGACCUGCACGAAUGGCGUAACGACUUCUCUGCUGUCUCAACCACGAACUCGGCGAAAUUGCAUUACGAGUAAAGAUGCUCGUUACGCGCAGCAGGACGGAAAGACCCCGAGACCUUCACUAUAGUUUGGUAUUGGGCUUCGGUGUGGUUUGUGUAGGAUAGGUGGGAGAUGUUGAAGCCUGGUCGCCAGAUCGGGUGGAGUCGGCAAGUGAAAUACCACUCUGACCAUUCUGGAUUCCUUAACUUCGGACCCUGAUCGGGUUCAGGGACAGUGCCUGAUGGGUAGUUUAACUGGGGCGGUUGCCUCCUAAAGAGUAACGGAGGCGCCCAAAGGUUCCCUCAGCCUGGUUGGCAAUCAGGUGUCGAGUGUAAGUGCACAAGGGAGCUUGACUGUGAGACGGACGUGUCGAGCAGGAGCGAAAGCUGGGACUAGUGACCCGGCCAUGGCUUGUGGAAGCGUGGUCGCUCAACGGAUAAAAGGUACCUCGGGGAUAACAGGCUGAUCUUGCCCAAGAGUCCAUAUCGACGGCAUGGUUUGGCACCUCGAUGUCGGCUCGUCGCAUCCUGGGGCUGGAGUCGGUCCCAAGGGUUGGGCUGUUCGCCCAUUAAAGCGGUACGCGAGCUGGGUUUAGAACGUCGUGAGACAGUUCGGUCCCUAUCCGCUGCGUGCGUAGGAAAUUUGUGGAGGGCUGUCCUUAGUACGAGAGGACCGGGACGGACGAACCUCUGGUGUGCCAGUUGUACCGCCAGGUGCAUGGCUGGUUGGCUACGUUCGGGAAGGAUAACCGCUGAAAGCAUCUAAGCGGGAAGCCUGCUCCGAGAUGAGAUUUCCAUCCCAUUUUGUGGGGGGAGGUGCCCAGGAGAACACUGGGUUGAUAGGCCGGGUAUGGAAGCACAGCAAUGUGUGGAGUUGACUGGUACUAAUACGCCGAUCACUCACACAA